GCUGGGUGUGGUGUUGCAAGCCUAUAAUCCCGGCAGCUCAGGAGGCUGAGACAGGAGGAUUGCAAGUUCAAAGCCAGCCUCAGCAAUUGUGAGGCACUAAGCAACUCAGUGAGACCCUGUCUCUA
rnacentral:sRNA from 1 species